AUCAGACCCUAUCAAGCAUCAUACAUCUCAACUUGGGAGCAGCCCCUGCUGUGCAUUCCAAAGCAGCACAGACCAUGGCAGCUUCUUCCUGAGUCCAACUUGGUUCCCCACUUCCGAUCUCUGCUUCAAAUUCUUUGCAGCUGACCCUAGAAGAAACGAGCCAGAAUCCCAGCUGCCCCAGAAGCAAUCCCUGGAGAGCAGGGCUGGUUAAUGGCAAACAGCUGCAGCUGUUAAUGUCUCAGGGGAUCUGAGCUUUAGCAGUGAAGGUCCAAGGUUCAUGUCCUGUUGACAGACUGUAAGAUUGAUACUGGUCAUCUCUCCUAGAAAAAUACAGUGGGGAUCACCUUCUUGAGGCUCCAGGUGCCUGGAACAAGAGGAAGCAGGUGUACAGGAUUUCCAUAUGCCCUGGUCACUUCUACUGCCAUCUCUUCUCUUGAACCUGUGGAGUUGUUGGCUGUGUUAGCCAAACCAUCCCUCUCAGCCCAUCAGACCUCUCAGCUAACACAGCAGAGGGAUCCAAGGAGAGAUUACAAAAUGGCAGGUUCCUGAAUCAGCCUUGGUGUUGAGCAGCAUUCAGCCACAGCCUUGGAUCUCCAGGAUGAAAGUAAAGCAGAGUUCACAUUACUGAUGAAUAACUCAAAAACGGGGUGAAAUUGUCUCACCAAAGCAAAACUGUUAAGGUCAAACUAUUAGAUAACAGCUGAGUUUGUCAAAGAACUGGAGAUCUCUUGGCCCAGCUUGCCAUGGCCAUCUGGCUACAUAGUGCUGCCUUGAUAAUGCCAAUCUUCACCUCCAUCCUCUGGGACGUGGGAGAGGGCAGAAGAGCCAUCAUCCAUCUAUGAGGUUUGGCUGUGGUAAUAAGGAGGCCACUGCAGCCAUGAAUAAUCUUUUUUCCACAGUUUCCACAACCCAUAUGGUGUGAAAAGCUGGACAAGGAUUUGUAAAUGAAUUGAGCCCAAGAGUAAUUACACGUUCCUGCAGAUUACUUGGUGCCGUAAUUGCACUUAGUAUUUACCAUGUGACCUAAGCCAGAAAUAAUCAUGUAUUUACUUUAUAUUUAUAUUGUAACGUGCCAUGUACUGUAAUUAUACUGCCACUCCAUGGUACUUAACACAUCAUUGAAUGUUCCACAAUUAUCAUGUUAGUAAAUAGCACUUACUGAGAUUUGUGGCCUGUAAUUUCAAGCAUUACCUGCUAAAGAUUUAUUGUAGGAAUGUCAAAAAAAUGUUUCUUGACAAUGUAAUUUCAUGUAAAAAAUGUCAAGUCCUAGAACCAACAGGAACCAGUUUUAAAAAUUUCAAAAUUUGAAAAUACAAAAGGAAAUCUAGGUUCAAAAUUAAGGGCUUUUCCAGUAAAGUAAUGAUCACUUCCAUAAAGAAUUCUCCAAAUUUUUCUACUUGAGGUUCCAGAAUAUUAUAAAUUCAAACUGUCAGACUUAUGUGAUUAAAUGAAAGAAUUAAAUCCACCUUGAGACUCUUAAAGAAAAAUGUUUUGGGAGAAGUUAAUAUCCACUCAACCUCUCAUUUAAUUCUGAUUAAAUCUCUGAGUG
ensembl:lncRNA